AGGUUGUGCCAAGGAGUAUGGUUUAUGUGCAAAGUGUUGUUGCUGUGUGAGCCAAACAAUUGGAAGGCUAUCAAGAAUGCUUGAGAAAGGGACGGGACGUCUCUACUUCGCACUUUGUGAAUUUUCAAGCACAAAUCCCUUCGCUCUUUGAUUCUAUUUCACUCUCACAGUCUCUCACACAUUGACUCUGAGAUCGCUUCAGCUUCUUCAAUCAGAUGUCAACUUGGGCUGAUUGUGAGAUCUUUUUGAUUGUUGAAAUUGAUCUGAUCGUUAUAUGAAAUCUCUAUGAUUGAUGGAAAUCUCCUGCAAGAAGAUAUUCGUAUAUUUCUGUAUAUAUGGCCAGAUUCAUGGAGCAUUGUCCAGCUGUUUUUCUCUGGUGAAAUUUGAACAUGAUUUUCUACAUCUUUCUAGUAUUGCUGCCAUUUUUGUUGUAACAAAAUACGCAAUGUACUGACAGCUGGCGAUUUGAAUUUUAGAUUGAUUUGCAUAUUGAUUUGCAGUUGUGAUAUGAUUUGGAGAUUGGU